GAUGAACGCUCGCGGCAGGCCUAACACAUGCAAGUCGAGGGAGAAGCCCUUUCGGGGGCAGAAACCGGCGCACGGGUGCGUAACGCGUAUGCAACCUACCUUUCACAGGGGGAUAGCCCGAAGAAAUUUGGAUUAAUACCCAAUAAUAUUAUUGGAUGGCAUCAUUUGAUAAUUAAAACUGCGGUGGUGAAAGAUGGGCAUGCGUCCUAUUAGCUAGUUGGAGUGGUAACGGCACCCCAAGGCUACGAUAGGUAGGGGUCCUGAGAGGGAGAUCCCCCACACUGGUACUGAGACAGGGACCAGACUCCUACGGGAGGCAGCAGUGAGGAAUAUUGGUCAAUGGUCGGAAGACUGAACCAGCCAUGCCGCGUGCAGGAAGAAUGCCUUAUGGGUGGUAAACUGCUUUUAUAUGGGAAGAAUAAGGCGUACGUGUACGUUGAUGACGGUACCAUAUGAAUAAGCAUCGGCUAACUCCGUG
rnacentral:rRNA from 1 species